AAGAAAAUAUUGAGAAGCUGUUUGUUAUACUUAAUGCUGACCCAUCUACAUCAUGUAUAGUACAUCAUGCUACCCAUAUGAACAUCAUGUGAGGAGGACCACUUAUGAUGUUCAUGUGGAACAGAAUCACAGCGUGUCAAUUAAAAUGGUGUGACAGUGAGACCCCCAUCAAUUGGUAGGAAAAUAGAGCCACAGAGAGAAAGUAAGACAGAGAGGGCGCCCACAG